rnacentral:piRNA from 1 species
UACCAAAACUUCAUCUUUCUC